rnacentral:rRNA from 1 species
GCCGGUAAGGUGAUAUGAACCGUUAUAACCGGCGAUGUCCGAAUGGGGAAACCCAGUGUGAUUCGUCACACUAUCGUUAACUGAAUACAUAGGUUAACGAGGCGAACCGGGGGAACUGAAACAUCUAAGUACCCCGAGGAAAAGAAAUCAACCGAGAUUCCCCCAGUAGCGGCGAGCGAACGGGGAGCAGCCCAGAGUCUGAAUCAGCUUGUGUGUCAGUGGAAGCGUCUGGAAAGUCGCAGGGUACAGGGUGAUACUCCCGUACACGAAAAUACACUUGCUGUGAACUCGAAGAGUAGGGCGGGACACGUGGUAUCCUGUCUGAAUAUGGGGGGACCAUCCUCCAAGGCUAAAUACUCCUGACUGACCGAUAGUGAACCAGUACCGUGAGGGAAAGGCGAAAAGAACCCCGGCGAGGGGAGUGAAAAAGAACCUGAAACCGUGUACGUACAAGCAGUGGGAGCCUCUUUAUGGGGUGACUGCGUACCUUUUGUAUAAUGGGUCAGCGACUUAUAUUCUGUAGCAAGGUUAACCGUAUAGGGGAGCCGCAGGGAAACCGAGUCUUAACUGGGCGUUAAGUUGCAGGGUAUAGACCCGAAACCCGGUGAUCUAGCCAUGGGCAGGUUGAAGGUUGGGUAACACUAACUGGAGGACCGAACCGACUAAUGUUGAAAAAUUAGCGGAUGACCUGUGGCUGGGGGUGAAAGGCCAAUCAAACCGGGAGAUAGCUGGUUCUCCCCGAAAGCUAUUUAGGUAGCGCCUCGUGAAUUCAUCUUCGGGGGUAGAGCACUGUUUCGGCUAGGGGGCCAUCCCGGCUUACCAACCCGAUGCAAACUACGAAUACCGAAGAAUGUUAUCACGGGAGACACACGGCGGGUGCUAACGUCCGUCGUGAAGAGGGAAACAACCCAGACCGCCAGCUAAGGUCCCAAAGUCAUGGUUAAGUGGGAAACGAUGUGGGAAGGCACAGACAGCCAGGAUGUUGGCUUAGAAGCAGCCAUCAUUUAAAGAAAGCGUAAUAGCUCACUGGUCGAGUCGGCCUGCGCGGAAGAUGUAACGGGGCUAAACCAUGCACCGAAGCUGCGGCAGCGACACUAUGUGUUGUUGGGUAGGGGAGCGUUCUGUAAGCCUGCGAAGGUGUGCUGUGAGGCAUGCUGGAGGUAUCAGAAGUGCGAAUGCUGACAUAAGUAACGAUAAAGCGGGUGAAAAGCCCGCUCGCCGGAAGACCAAGGGUUCCUGUCCAACGUUAAUCGGGGCAGGGUGAGUCGACCCCUAAGGCGAGGCCGAAAGGCGUAGUCGAUGGGAAACAGGUUAAUAUUCCUGUACUUGGUGUUACUGCGAAGGGGGGACGGAGAAGGCUAUGUUGGCCGGGCGACGGUUGUCCCGGUUUAAGCAUGUAGGCGGGGGUUCCAGGUAAAUCCGGUACCUUUUAACGCUGAGGUGUGAUGACGAGGCACUACGGUGCUGAAGUGACAAAUGCCCUGCUUCCAGGAAAAGCCUCUAAGCAUCAGGUAACACGAAAUCGUACCCCAAACCGACACAGGUGGUCAGGUAGAGAAUACCAAGGCGCUUGAGAGAACUCGGGUGAAGGAACUAGGCAAAAUGGUGCCGUAACUUCGGGAGAAGGCACGCUGGUAGGUAGGUGAAGUGAUUUACUCAUGGAGCUGAAAUCAGUCGAAGAUACCAGCUGGCUGCAACUGUUUAUUAAAAACACAGCACUGUGCAAACACGAAAGUGGACGUAUACGGUGUGACGCCUGCCCGGUGCCGGAAGGUUAAUUGAUGGGGUUAGCGCAAGCGAAGCUCUUGAUCGAAGCCCCGGUAAACGGCGGCCGUAACUAUAACGGUCCUAAGGUAGCGAAAUUCCUUGUCGGGUAAGUUCCGACCUGCACGAAUGGCGUAAUGAUGGCCAGGCUGUCUCCACCCGAGACUCAGUGAAAUUGAACUCGCUGUGAAGAUGCAGUGUACCCGCGGCAAGACGGAAAGACCCCGUGAACCUUUACUAUAGCUUGACACUGAACAUUGAGCCUUGAUGUGUAGGAUAGGUGGGAGGCUUUGAAGCGUGGACGCCAGUCUGCGUGGAGCCAACCUUGAAAUACCACCCUUUAAUGUUUGAUGUUCUAACGUGGACCCGUGAUCCGGGUUGCGGACAGUGUCUGGUGGGUAGUUUGACUGGGGCGGUCUCCUCCUAAAGAGUAACGGAGGAGCACGAAGGUUAGCUAAUCCUGGUCGGACAUCAGGAGGUUAGUGCAAUGGCAUAAGCUAGCUUGACUGCGAGCGUGACGGCUCGAGCAGGUGCGAAAGCAGGUCAUAGUGAUCCGGUGGUUCUGAAUGGAAGGGCCAUCGCUCAACGGAUAAAAGGUACUCCGGGGAUAACAGGCUGAUACCGCCCAAGAGUUCAUAUCGACGGCGGUGUUUGGCACCUCGAUGUCGGCUCAUCACAUCCUGGGGCUGAAGUAGGUCCCAAGGGUAUGGCUGUUCGCCAUUUAAAGUGGUACGCGAGCUGGGUUUAGAACGUCGUGAGACAGUUCGGUCCCUAUCUGCCGUGGGCGCUGGAGAAUUGAGGGGGGCUGCUCCUAGUACGAGAGGACCGGAGUGGACGCAUCACUGGUGUUCGGGUUGUCAUGCCAAUGGCACUGCCCGGUAGCUAAAUGCGGAAGAGAUAAGUGCUGAAAGCAUCUAAGCACGAAACUUGCCCCGAGAUGAGUUCU